rnacentral:rRNA from 1 species
AUACGUAGGGUGCGAGCGUUAAUCGGAAUUACUGGGCGUAAAGGGUGCGUAGGCGGCUUGAUAAGUCGGAUGUGAAAGCCCCGGGCUUAACCUGGGAAUUGCAUUCGAUACUGUCAGGCUAGAGUAUGUCAGAGGUUGGCGGAAUUCCUGGUGUAGCGGUGAAAUGCGUAGAUAUCAGGAGGAACACCAGUGGCGAAGGCGGCUAACUGGGGCAAUACUGACGCUGAGGCACGAAAGCGUGGGGAGCAAACAGGAUUAGAUACCCUAGUAGUCC